rnacentral:ncRNA from 1 species
CCUCGAUGUUGAAUUAAUGAACCUUUAAGGUGAAGAAGCUUUGAAAGGUGGAUUAUUCCUCCAUUAGAUCAUUACAUGAUUUGAGUUCAGACCGGCGUAAGCCAGGUUGGUUGGGCAUACUGCUAAUCAUUAUACUUCGUCUUGGUCUA